CCCUCCAAGUAGCCAACCAAUUGGACAGGGGCGGGGGACCCACAGGUACGUGGGGUCGCCGGAGAUCAGAUCCGGCGCGAUCCCUUGGGGUGAAGCCGCGCAGCGCGCGGCCGGGCACUACACCUUCCCGCCCGAACCCGACAGCUCACCUCGCAGGCGUGCAUGGAAGGACUC
rnacentral:sRNA from 1 species